GAUCGGAGAAGCAGAUUAUUCUGAUGAUGACAAGUGGUUGAAAAGAAGACAUGUUCAAGAACAGUUGUAUCCUUGGCACCACUGUAAAACUGACAGCCCGCACUUAGAACAAGAGGCCUGUCAUUAUAUUCAGCCGUGGACAUCACUUACAAACCUUGAAAUACAGCUUCAGAAAAAAAAAUAUAUAUUAUAGAUGGUAGUAAGGAUAUUCCUUUUGAACAAAAAUAUCUGUGAUUUUAGCCCUUUACCUUGAACUCAAAAGCAAUUUACCUUGAGGAUUUCCCUGUGGUAAGAUGUAUACAUCUGUGAUAGUACAUAAAAAUGAUGUGAUUGUUAUAUUAAUUCUAUCACUGGAAGGGAAGGAGAGAAGGGACAAUGGAAGGCAAGUAAAUG